CACGUAGGGUGCGAGCGUUGUCCGGAAUUAUUGGGCGUAAAGAGCUCGUAGGCGGUUUGUCGCGUCGAAUGUGAAAACCCGGGGCUCAACCCCGGGCCUGCAUUCGAUACGGGCAGACUAGAGUUCGGUAGGGGAGUCUGGAAUUCCUGGUGUAGCGGUGAAAUGCGCAGAUAUCAGGAGGAACACCGGUGGCGAAGGCGGGACUCUGGGCCGAUACUGACGCUGAGGAGCGAAAGCGUGGGGGAGCAAACAGG
rnacentral:rRNA from 1 species